rnacentral:rRNA from 1 species
CAGCAGCCGCGGUAAUUCCAGCUCUGUAAGCGUAUAUCAAAGUUGUUGCAGUUAAAACGCUCGUAGUCGGAUUUUGGCGUUUGUCGGCGAUGCGGGCCUUCGGGUCGGUCGCUCGGCGAGUGCCUUUGUGGAUGGUGGCCGGUGCGCUGUUUCAUUACAAUGCGCUGGUCGCCGCCACUGUUUACUGUGAGAAAAUUUGAGUGUUCAAAGCGGGCGACUGGGCCGUGAAAAGAUUAGCAUGGAAUAAUGGAAUAGGACCCUUGGGUUCUGUUUCGUUGGUUUGUGAGACCCAGGUAAUGAUUAAGAGGGACGGUUGGGGGCAUUUGUAUUUCGGCGCUAGAGGUGAAAUUCUUGGAUUGCCGAAAGACAAACAGCUGCGAAAGCGUCUGCCAAGGACGUUUUCAUUGAUCAAGAACGAAAGUAAGGGGAUCGAAGACGAUCAGAUACCGUCGUAGUCUUUACUAUAAACGAUGAGGACUGGGGAUCGGGCGGGGCUGUUUAUUUGGCCCACCCGGCACCCUCCGAGAAAUCAAAGUGUUUGCUUUCUGGGGGGAGUAUGGUCGCAAGGCUGAAACUUAAAGGAAUUGACGGAAGGGCAUCACCGGGUGUGGAGCCUGCGGCUUAAUUUGACUCAACACGGG